AUUUAAAUAGUUUAUAUAAAAUAUUGGUUUGUGGAACCAGGGAUGUGAAAUAACACUUUAGAUA
rnacentral:tRNA from 1 species